AAAUUGAAGAGUUUGAUCAUGGCUCAGAUUGAACGCUGGCGGCAGGCCUAACACAUGCAAGUCGAACGGUAACAGGAAGCAGCUUGCUGCUUUGCUGACGAGUGGCGGACGGGUGAGUAAUGUCUGGGAAACUGCCUGAUGGAGGGGGAUAACUACUGGAAACGGUGGCUAAUACCGCAUAACGUCGCAAGACCAAAGAGGGGGACCUUCGGGCCUCUUGCCAUCAGAUGUGCCCAGAUGGGAUUAGCUUGUUGGUGAGGUAACGGCUCACCAAGGCGACGAUCCCUAGCUGGUCUGAGAGGAUGACCAGCCACACUGGAACUGAGACACGGUCCAGACUCCUACGGGAGGCAGCAGUGGGGAAUAUUGCACAAUGGGCGCAAGCCUGAUGCAGCCAUGCCGCGUGUAUGAAGAAGGCCUUCGGGUUGUAAAGUACUUUCAGCGGGGAGGAAGGUGUUGUGGUUAAUAACCACAGCAAUUGACGUUACCCGCAGAAGAAGCACCGGCUAACUCCGUGCCAGCAGCCGCGGUAAUACGGAGGGUGCAAGCGUUAAUCGGAAUUACUGGGCGUAAAGCGCACGCAGGCGGUCUGUCAAGUCGGAUGUGAAAUCCCCGGGCUCAACCUGGGAACUGCAUUCGAAACUGGCAGGCUUGAGUCUUGUAGAGGGGGGUAGAAUUCCAGGUGUAGCGGUGAAAUGCGUAGAGAUCUGGAGGAAUACCGGUGGCGAAGGCGGCCCCCUGGACAAAGACUGACGCUCAGGUGCGAAAGCGUGGGGAGCAAACAGGAUUAGAUACCCUGGUAGUCCACGCCGUAAACGAUGUCUACUUGGAGGUUGUGCCCUUGAGGCGUGGCUUCCGGAGCUAACGCGUUAAGUAGACCGCCUGGGGAGUACGGCCGCAAGGUUAAAACUCAAAUGAAUUGACGGGGGCCCGCACAAGCGGUGGAGCAUGUGGUUUAAUUCGAUGCAACGCGAAGAACCUUACCUGGUCUUGACAUCCACGGAAGGUCUCAGAGAUGAGACUGUGCCUUCGGGAACCGUGAGACAGGUGCUGCAUGGCUGUCGUCAGCUCGUGUUGUGAAAUGUUGGGUUAAGUCCCGCAACGAGCGCAACCCUUAUCCUUUGUUGCCAGCGGUCCGGCCGGGAACUCAAAGGAGACUGCCAGUGAUAAACUGGAGGAAGGUGGGGAUGACGUCAAGUCAUCAUGGCCCUUACGACCAGGGCUACACACGUGCUACAAUGGCGCAUACAAAGAGAAGCGACCUCGCGAGAGCAAGCGGACCUCAUAAAGUGCGUCGUAGUCCGGAUUGGAGUCUGCAACUCGACUCCAUGAAGUCGGAAUCGCUAGUAAUCGUGGAUCAGAAUGCCACGGUGAAUACGUUCCCGGGCCUUGUACACACCGCCCGUCACACCAUGGGAGUGGGUUGCAAAAGAAGUAGGUAGCUUAACCUUCGGGAGGGCGCUUACCACUUUGUGAUUCAUGACUGGGGUGAAGUCGUAACAAGGUAACCGUAGGGGAACCUGCGGUUGGAUCACCUCCUUA
rnacentral:rRNA from 1 species